rnacentral:rRNA from 1 species
AACGAACGCUGGCGGCAUGCCUAACACAUGCAAGUCGAACGAGACCUUCGGGUCUAGUUGCGCACGGGUGCGUAACGCGUGGGAACCUGCCCUUAGGUUCGGAAUAACUCCCCGAAAGGGGUGCUAAUACCGGAUAAUCUCUUCGGACCAAAGAUUUAUCGCCUUUGGAUGGGCCCGCGUUGGAUUAGCUAGUUGGUAGGGUAAAAGCCUACCAAGGCGACGAUCCAUAGCUGGUCUGAGAGGAUGAUCAGCCACACUGGGACUGGGACACGGCGCAGACUCCUACGGGAGGCAGCAGUGGGGAAUAUUGGACAAUGGGCGAAAGCCUGAUCCAGCAAUGCCGCGUGAGUGAUGAAGGCCUUAGGGUUGUAAAGCUCUUUUACCCGGGAUGAUAAUGACAGUACCGGGAGAAUAAGCUCCGGCUAACUCCGUG